GGCUAAGUUGUAAACCGAAGCUGCGGCAAUGUUCUUUGAACAUUGGGUAGGGGAGCGUUCUGUAAGCCGUUGAAGGUAUGUUGUAAAGCAUGCUGGAGGUAUCAGAAGUGCGAAUGCUGACAUGAGUAACGACAAGGGGGGUGAAAAACCUCCCCGCCGGAAGACCAAGGGUUCCUGUCCAACGUUAAUCGGGGCAGGGUAAGUCGACCCCUAAGGCGAGGCCGAAAGGCGUAGUCGAUGGGAAACGGGUUAAUAUUCCCGUACUUCUUACAAUUGCGAUGGGGGGACGGAGAAGGCUAGGUGGGCCUGGCGACGGUUGUCCAGGUUCAAGUGCGUAGGCUGAGUGUUUAGGUAAAUCCGGACACUCUUAAGGCUGAGACACGACGUCGAGCUACUACGGUAGUGAAGUCAUUGAUGCCAUGCUUCCAGGAAAAGCCUCUAAGCUUCAGAUUGUAAGGAAUCGUACCCCAAACCGACACAGGUGGUCGGGUAGAGAAUACCAAGGCGCUUGAGAGAACUCGGGUGAAGGAACUAGGCAAAAUGGUACCGUAACUUCGGGAGAAGGUACGCUCUUGAUGGUGAAGUCCCUUGCGGAUGGAGCUGACGAGAGUCGCAGAUACCAGGUGGCUGCAACUGUUUAUUAAAAACACAGCACUGUGCAAAAUCGUAAGAUGACGUAUACGGUGUGACGCCUGCCCGGUGCCGGAAGGUUAAUUGAUGGGGUUAGCGUAAGCGAAGCUCUUGAUCGAAGCCCCGGUAAACGGCGGCCGUAACUAUAACGGUCCUAAGGUAGCGAAAUUCCUUGUCGGGUAAGUUCCGACCUGCACGAAUGGCGUAAUGAUGGCCACGCUGUCUCCACCCGAGACUCAGUGAAAUUGAAAUCGCUGUGAAGAUGCAGUGUACCCGCGGCUAGACGGAAAGACCCCGUGAACCUUUACUACAGCUUGGCACUGAACAUUGAACCUACAUGUGUAGGAUAGGUGGGAGGCUUUGAAGACGUGACGCCAGUUGCGUUGGAGCCGUCCUUGAAAUACCACCCUUGUAUGUUUGAUGUUCUAACGUUGGCCCCUAAUCGGGGUUGCGGACAGUGCCUGGUGGGUAGUUUGACUGGGGCGGUCUCCUCCCAAAGAGUAACGGAGGAGCACGAAGGUGGGCUAAUCACGGUUGGACAUCGUGAGGUUAGUGCAAUGGCAUAAGCCCGCUUAACUGCGAGAAUGACGGUUCGAGCAGGUGCGAAAGCAGGUCAUAGUGAUCCGGUGGUUCUGAAUGGAAGGGCCAUCGCUCAACGGAUAAAAGGUACUCCGGGGAUAACAGGCUGAUACCGCCCAAGAGUUCAUAUCGACGGCGGUGUUUGGCACCUCGAUGUCGGCUCAUCACAUCCUGGGGCUGAAGUCGGUCCCAAGGGUAUGGCUGUUCGCCAUUUAAAGUGGUACGCGAGCUGGGUUUAGAACGUCGUGAGACAGUUCGGUCCCUAUCUGCCGUGGGCGUUGGAAGAUUGAAGGGGGCUGCUCCUAGUACGAGAGGACCGGAGUGGACGAACCUCUGGUGUUCGGGUUGUGUCGCCAGACGCAUUGCCCGGUAGCUAAGUUCGGAAUCGAUAACCGCUGAAAGCAUCUAAGCGGGAAGCGAGCCCUGAGAUGAGUCUUCCCUGAUACUUUAAGUAUCCUGAAGGGUUGUUCGAGACUAGAACGUUGAUAGGCAGGGUGUGUAAGCGCUGUGAGGCGUUGAGCUAACCUGUACUAAUUGCCCGUGAGGCUUAACCAUACAACACCCAAAGGGUUUUG
rnacentral:rRNA from 1 species